AUCGCUUCUCGGCCUUUUGGCUAAGAUCAAAGUGUAGUAUCUGUUCUUAUCAGCUUAAUAUCUGAUACGCGCCUCAUCGAGGUGCUACUCUUUCUUUCCAAGACUGCUU
rnacentral:snRNA from 1 species